rnacentral:rRNA from 1 species
UACGUAGGGUGCAAGCGUUAAUCGGAAUUACUGGGCGUAAAGCGUGCGCAGGCGGUUAUGUAAGACAGGUGUGAAAUCCCCGGGCUUAACCUGGGAAUUGCAUUGUGACUUGCAUGGCUAGAGUGUGUCAGAGGGGGUAGAAUUCACGUGUGAGCAGUGAAAUGCGUAGAUAUGAUGGAGAAUACCGAUGGCGAAGGCAGCCCCCUGGAUAACACUGACGCCU